AUUGAACGCUGGCGGCAUGCCUUACACAUGCAAGUCGAACGGCAGCGGACCUUCGGGUGCCGGCGAGUGGCGAACGGGUGAGUAAUGCAUCGGAACGUACCUUUCAGUGGGGGAUAACGUAGCGAAAGUUACGCUAAUACCGCAUAUUCUGUGAGCAGGAAAGCAGGGGAUCGCAAGACCUUGCGCUGAUUGAGCGGCCGAUGUCAGAUUAGCUAGUUGGUGAGGUAAAGGCCCACCAAGGCGACGAUCUGUAGCGGGUCUGCGAGGAUGAUCCGCCACACUGGAACUGAGACACGGUCCAGACUCCUACGGGAGGCAGCAGUGGGGAAUUUUGGACAAUGGGGGCAACCCUGAUCCAGCCAUGCCGCGUGAGUGAAGAAGGCCUUCGGGUUGUAAAGCUCUUUCGGCCGGGAAGAAAUCGCACGGGCUAAUACCCUGUGUGGAUGACGGUACCGGAAUAAGAAGCACCGGCUAACUACGUGCCAGCCGCCGCAGUAAGAC
rnacentral:rRNA from 1 species